GAAUUUUGCGCAAUGGCCGCAAGGCUGACGCAGCAACGCCGCGUGGGUGAUGAAGGCCUUCGGGUCGUAAAGCCCUGUCAGGUGGGAAGAAAGGCCUGGAGAGGAAAGGUUUCAGGUUUGACGGUACCACCAGAGGAAGCACCGGCUAACUCCGUGCCAGCAGCCGCGGUAAUACGGAGGGUGCGAGCGUUAUUCGGAAUUACUGGGCGUAAAGCGCGUGUGGGCGGGGGGACAAGUCUGAUGUGAAAGCACUGGGCUUAACCUGGGAAGCGCAUUGGAAACGGUUUUACUUGAGUACUGGCGAGGAAGGGGGAAUUCCCGGUGUAGAGGUGAAAUUCGUAGAGAUCGGGAGGAAUACCAGUGGCGUAGGCGCCCUUCUGGACGGUAACUGACGCUGAGACGCGAAAG
rnacentral:rRNA from 1 species